UCCCUGGUGGUCCAGGGACUUAGACUCUGCACUCCCAAUGCAGGGGGCCUGGGUUCAAUCCCUAGUCAGGGAA
rfam:Ovis aries breed Texel chromosome 10, whole genome shotgun sequence.